CACGUAGGCACCAAGCGUUGUCCGGAUUUAUUGGGCGUAAAGAGCUCGUAGGCGGUUGAGUAAGUCGGGUGUGAAAACUCUGGGCUUAACCCAGAGCCGCCACUCGAUACUGCUCUGACUUGAGUACGGUAGGGGAGCAGGGAAUUCCUAGUGUAGCGGUGAAAUGCGCAGAUACUAGGAGGAACACCGGUGGCGAAGGCGCUGCUCUGGGCCGAAACUGACGCUGAGACACGAAAGCGUGGGUAGCAAACAGG
rnacentral:rRNA from 1 species